rnacentral:rRNA from 1 species
UGCGCAGGCGGGCUAAUAAGUCAGUGGUGAAAUCUUUCGGCUUAACCGGGAAACUGCCAUUGAUACUGUUAGUCUUGAGUUCGGUUGAGGUAGGCGGAAUGUGUAAUGUAGCGGUGAAAUGCUUAGAUAUUACACAGAACACCAAUUGCGUAGGCAGCUUACUAGACCGACACUGACGCUGAGGCACGAAAGCGUGGGGAGCGAACAGGAUUAAUACCCUGGUAGUCC